CAAAGUGUAGCUUAAUAACAAAGCACCUGGCCUACACCCAGAAGAUUCCAUUAAACACGGACACUUUGA
rnacentral:tRNA from 1 species